CUGGUCUACAAAGUGAGUCUUGCCUCACCACCUGUCUUUCCUCAGUCCAUGAGUGUUGCCUUAGCAAAACUCCACGUGCGUCUUUAUCUGACAUCGUUCUAUCGGUCAGAGUCUUUGGAAGAGGCAAGAAGCCGCAGGAAUCUCUCCAUUUAUUUCUCUCUAUGAGUCUUGACCAUUGGAGCUCAACAACGCAUGUAAAGUGAACCAAUACAUGUGUGUCAUUAUCGAAGAAUCCUUCAUCAUGUGUCCUUUCAUGUGCUUGCUUUAGCAAAACAUUCUUCCACCUGUGUCUGCUUCAGCGAAACGUUCCUUCACAUGUCUGACUCCACCCAACACAACUGACUUUCCAAAGAACUGUUAAGUUUCCACUUCCCAGGGUGGGGGUACAUGCAUGAUGUGUAUGGAGGUCAAAGGACAACUUGUGGGAGUUGGUUCCGUCUUUUCACAGUGUAAGCUAAGGAAGCGCCGGUCAUCGGUCAUUGGCUUGGCAGCAAACACACUGAGAUAGCUCUUUCUAGCCCAACCCUCAGCUUUUCUUUCCUCCUCCCCUUCCUUCCUCCUCCUCCUCCUCUCUUCUUUGUCUUCUCCUUUCUCCCAUCUCAGGCUUGGAGAUAGAAGUUUCUGAUCUGGAUCUUGGUAUGGAGAUCUUAAGGCUUAGUGGCUAUGGAUUCCAGAAGAUUAAAUCUCCGAGUUCAAGGUCAUCUGGAUUGAAAGGUGUGGUGGAGCACACCUUUAAUCUGGGCUACACCUUCUGCUGGAGACAAUAUAAGGACAUUGGAAGAAGGGAGUCUUGCUCUUGCUCCUUCCCCUGCUUGCCGUGUGAGAUUGAGUAACUGCUAGAUCCUUGGACUUCCAUUAACAGCUACUACUGAACCAUUGUUGGGAAUUGGGCUGCCGACUGUAAGUCAUCAAUAAACUCCUUUACUAUAUAGAGACUACCCAUAAGUUCUGUGACUCUAGAGAACCC
rnacentral:lncRNA from 1 species